UACGUAGGGUGCGAGCGUUGUCCGGAAUUAUUGGGCGUAAAGGGCUCGUAGGCGGUUUGUCGCGUCGGGAGUGAAAUCCACUGGCUUAACUGGUGGCUUGCUUUCGAUACGGGCAGACUGGAGGUAUGCAGGGGAGAACGGAAUUCCUGGUGUAGCGGUGAAAUGCGCAGAUAUCAGGAGGAACACCGGUGGCGAAGGCGGCGUUCUGGACUGCAACUGACACUGAGGAACGAAAGCCAGGGGAGCAAACGGG
rnacentral:rRNA from 1 species